GAGUUUGAUCAUGGCUCAGAACGAACGCUGGCGGCGUGGAUAAGACAUGCAAGUCGAACGGGAGAAUUGCUAGCUUGCUAAUAAUUCUCUAGUGGCGCACGGGUGAGUAACACGUGAGUAACCUGCCCCCGAGAGCGGGAUAGCCCUGGGAAACUGGGAUUAAUACCGCAUAGUAUCGAAAGAUUAAAGCAGCAAUGCGCUUGGGGAUGGGCUCGCGGCCUAUUAGUUAGUUGGUGAGGUAACGGCUCACCAAGGCGAUGACGGGUAGCCGGUCUGAGAGGAUGUCCGGCCACACUGGAACUGAGACACGGUCCAGACACCUACGGGUGGCAGCAGUCGAGAAUCAUUCACAAUGGGGGAAACCCUGAUGGUGCGACGCCGCGUGGGGGAAUGAAGGUCUUCGGAUUGUAAACCCCUGUCAUGUGGGAGCAAAUUAAAAAGAUAGUACCACAAGAGGAAGAGACGGCUAACUCUGUGCCAGCAGCCGCCGCCGUAAG
rnacentral:rRNA from 1 species